rnacentral:rRNA from 1 species
AUUGAACGCUGGCGGCAUGCCUUACACAUGCAAGUCGAACGACAGCACGGGGGCAACCCUGGUGGCGAGUGGCGAACGGGUGAGUAAUGCAUCGGAACGUGCCCAGUAGUGGGGGAUAACCCGGCGAAAGCCGGGCUAAUACCGCAUACGACCUAAGGGUGAAAGCGGGGGACCGUAAGGCCUCGCGCUAUUGGAGCGGCCGAUGUCUGAUUAGCUAGUUGGCGGGGUAAAAGCCCACCAAGGCGACGAUCAGUAGCUGGUCUGAGAGGACGACCAGCCACACUGGGACUGAGACACGGCCCAGACUCCUACGGGAGUCAGCAGUGGGGAAUUUUGGACAAUGGGCGCAAGCCUGAUCCAGCCAUGCCGCGUGCGGGAAGAAGGCCUUCGGGUUGUAAACCGCUUUUGGCAGGAACGAAACGGCGCAAGCCAAUACCUUGCGCUAAUGACGGUACCUGCAGAAUAAGCACCGACUAACUACGUGCCAGCAGCCGCGGUAAUAC